rnacentral:rRNA from 1 species
UAGUAUAGCAAUCUAUACGGUGAAACUGCGAAUGGCUCAUUAAAUCAGUUAUCGUUUAUUUGAUAGUACCUUACUACUUGGAUAACCGUGGUAAUUCUAGAGCUAAUACAUGCUAAAAACCCCGACUUCGGAAGGGGUGUAUUUAUUAGAUAAAAAACCAAUGCCCUUCGGGGCUCCUUGGUGAUUCAUAAUAACUUAACGAAUCGCAUGGCCUUGUGCCGGCGAUGGUUCAUUCAAAUUUCUGCCCUAUCAACUUUCGAUGGUAGGAUAGUGGCCUACCAUGGUUUCAACGGGUAACGGGGAAUUAGGGUUCUAUUCCGGAGAGGGAGCCUGAGAAACGGCUACCACAUCCAAGGAAGGCAGCAGGCGCGCAAAUUACCCAAUCCCGACACGGGGAGGUAGUGACAAUAAAUACUGAUACAGGGCUCUUUUGGGUCUUGUAAUUGGAAUGAGUACAAUUUAAAUCCCUUAACGAGGAACAAUUGGAGGGCAAGUCUGGUGCCAGCAGCCGCGGUAAUUCCAGCUCCAAUAGCGUAUAUUAAAGUUGUUGCAGUUAAAAAGCUCGUAGUUGAACCUUGGGCCUGGUUGGCCGGUCCGCCUCACCGCGUGCACUGGUCCGACCGGGCCUUUCCUUCUAGGGAACCUCAUGCCUUUCAUUAGGUGUGUUGGGGAACUAGGACUUUUACUUUGAAAAAAUUAGAGUGUUCAAAGCAGGCCUAUGCUCGAAUACAUUAGCAUGGAAUAAUAGAAUAGGACGUGUGGUUCUAUUUUGUUGGUUUCUAGGACCGCCGUAAUGAUUAAUAGGGAUAGUCGGGGGCAUCAGUAUUCAAUUGUCAGAGGUGAAAUUCUUGGAUUUAUUGAAGACUAACUACUGC